rnacentral:misc_RNA from 1 species
CACGAUGUGAACACCAAGCUUCGCAACGUGAAAAAGUUUCUUUCCAACGGAGAUAAAGUAAAGCUUUCCAUCCGUUUCCGUGGUCGGGAAAUUACCCACCAAGACCUAGGUCGGAAGAUGCUGACUCGGGUAGCGGAAGAAGUGAAGGAUCUCGGAGAUGUGGAGCGCCAGCCCAAGCUGGAAGGUCGUCAGAUGAUUAUGAUACUGGCACCGAAAAACACCAACAGCUGAGGAGUGACCCCCAUGCCGAAAAUGAAGACGCGCCGUGCGGCCGCAAAGCGUUUCAACAAAACCGGCACCGGCAAGAUCAAACGCAACCAUGCGUUUA